AAUAAAAUGAUGCCAGCGACUAGUAUUUUGCGAAGAUUAUAUAAAAUAAGGUUAAAAAGAGGUUUUUAAAGUUUAAUUACGUACACAAAAAAAUAAGAAAAAAUGGCUGAAUUCGAAGACAUGGCUUACAGAACUAAAUGUAGUGAAAGAACUCUACAAACCGAGGUUAAAGGAUUUUUUAUGGAUUUUGUGGAAUUAGUCAAAGAUCGGGCCGGUAAAACAUGGAUUCAAAACACCUUUGGCAAGCUUAAAACCGACUCUGAAAGAAUAAGGAGUAUAUAUACUUCUGAUGAGACUAAAGAUGCAGUUGUUAGUAUAUUAUCUAAUGUUCAAGAAAUCUAUAGAAAAAAAGAUGCUACAGUUUCUCAAUUGAAACGAUUAGAAGCAGAAAACGUCCUCGAAAAGGGAGAGAUGAGUAAAUCAUUGAUGCUGUACAGUCAAAGUGUUCUUAGAGCUCCUAGAACUGGCCAAUGUAACAGUUUCGACUCAGGUCUAUCCUUAUCUCUUGCCCUAUGGGGAAGAUCUAAAGUAUUAAUGAUAAUGAAAGAAUAUUCAUUAGCUUUAAAUGAUAUUCAGCAAGCUGUAAAGGAACAUCUUCCAAACGUUUUUAAAGCCGAGGCUUACUGGAAGAUGGCUGUGUGUUAUAAAGCAUUAAACGAGGGGCAAAAAGCUAAGGUGGCUUUUGAAUUAGCUGAAAAGUUAAUGGACAGCGAAAAGAAAAAAGAACAGCUGCAACAAGAUAAAGAAACUGAAUUUAGCAGCAGUAAUAAGGGAAGAAAAAAAGAUAAUUCUAGUAAUACUAUAUCUCACUGUGUGUCAAAUAAACUCACCGUUAAAAGCGAUAAGGAAUUAGGACGGUUUGUGGUUGCAAAUAAAGAAAUUCAAACUGGAGAAACUUUAGUUGUUGAAUCUCCCUACGCAGCUUGCUUAUUACCAGGCAUGUUCGGGACCCACUGCCAUCAUUGUUUUAACAGAUUACAAGCUCCAAUCGGUUGUUCAGACUGCUCCAACGUGGCCUUUUGCAAGCCAGCCUGUAGAGAUGCAGCACUUUCUUCCUACCAUUCCUACGAAUGUAAAUAUUUAGACCUUCUGAUUGGUUCAGGUAUGAGUAUUUUGGCACAUACAGCUUUACGAAUGGUAACACAACAAAAGUUGGAAAAGUGCCUGGAAAUUUAUAAGAAUAAAUCAGAGGAGAAAAUUUUCAAUUUAUGUACCAAUAGUGAUAAACGAGAUAGCGAAGAUUUUUUUCAGAGAACUCUUAUGGCUGCGUUUUUACUCAGAUGUCUUCAGAAAUGUGGGUAUUUUGGUGCUCAAAAUGAUAGUGAGUUACCAACAGAAGACGAAUUUAAAAUAGGAGAAUUUUUAUUAUUUAGUUUGCAAAUGUUACAGUUCAAUGCACACGAAAUAUUUGAACAAGUAACUGUACAGGAUUAUAGCAUAAAAGGUUCUAAAUUGUCUUAUAUUGGAAUUGGUAUCUAUCCUACAGUAGCUUUUUUUAACCAUGAUUGUUACCCCGCCGUUACAAGAUAUUUCGUUGGAAAAGAUGUAGUAGUCAAAGCUGUAAGACUUCUCCAAACAAAUGACAUAGUAGCAGAAAACUAUGGACCAAUAUUUCACAGAAAACCAUUAAAAGAUCGUCAAAAAAUUUUAUCUUCACGAUAUUGGUUUAAGUGUAAGUGCGAAGCCUGUAUACAUAAUUGGCCCACUAAAGAUGAAAUGGAAAAUAUACAACAAAGAGUAAGAUGUCCUACAACAAAUUGUCCCAAUGUGUUCACCUUACCUGUUUCAAAUUCAUUAACGAGCUGUACAAAAUGCAAAGAGAAUAUUAAUUUGGAUGAAAAUAUUCGUCUACUAAAUUGGUGUGAAGAAGAAUGUCAAAAAGGUUUGGAAUUUCUAGACAAUAAUAAACCCGAUAAAGUAGUGGAAGUAUUGUGUGGAGCGUUGGAUAUAUUUCAUAGUAAGUUGACAUCAUGUUUAAAGCCUCUUCCAUUGUCAGCUCUAUCUGUGUGAGAGUUUUCCCUUUUACAACGAUACCAAGGUGGACAGCGUUAACAAAUCUAUCGGUUUAGGGAUGCAUUGGCUAGUCGUUGGUGUAUAUGUUAAACAGGGAUGACGCCAGAAUGCUUCAUUUAGGGUGUCGAUCCCACCUCAUAAAUCAACACAGUUGGCACAGGAAAUUUUGCAGCUUUGUAUGGCGUCCUUUGGAAAUGUAUCAAAUACUUUAAAGAAGAAAUAAAUGAUUUAAAACUUU